UACGUAGGGUGCAGGCGUUAAUCGGAAUUACUGGGCGUAAAGCGUGCGCAGGCGGCUCCUUAAGUCAGAUGUGAAAGCCCCGGGCUCAACCUGGGAAUGGCGAUGGAUACUGGCUCGCUAGAGUGCGGUAGAGGAGAGUGGAAUUCCCGGUGUAGUGGUGGAAUGCGUAGAUAUCGGGAGGAACACCAGUGGCGAAGGCGGUUGCCUGGAGCUUUGCUGACGCUGAGGCGCGAAAGCGUGGGGAGCGAUCCGG
rnacentral:rRNA from 1 species